UACGUAGGGGGGCAAGCGUUGUCCGGAAUCAUUGGGCGUAAAAGCGCGUGUAGGCGGCUCGGUAAGUCCGCUCUGAAAAGUCCAGGGGCUCAACCCCUGGGGAUGCGGGGUGGAUACUGCCCGGGGCUCGAGUCCGGAAGAGGCGAGUGGAAUUCCCGGUGUAGCGGUGAAAUGCGCAGAUAUCAGGAGGAACACCGGUGGCGAAGGCGGUUCUCUGGGCAUUACCUGACGCUGAGGAGCGAAAGCAUGGGGGAGCGAACAGG
rnacentral:rRNA from 1 species